rnacentral:antisense_RNA from 1 species
CACUGACAUCAGAGAUUCGUUCUGGGAACCUUGCCCCACUGCCAGAUAGGCAUUCAUGCCUAACUCUUUCAUCUGUUCUUCACCAAUCACUUUGGUGAUCAGAUUAUCAGCACUGUCAGCAAGCUGGCGUGCCUGUGAUGCAAGGUACGCAGCAUUACAGAUAUUGGGUGGCAUAUUGACCAGAUCUUUUGC